GAUUUUACAUUCCCUUUAAAUUUCAUUGGAUGUUAAAAAAAUGUUUACAUGGAAGAUAAUUACAGCAGAAUUAAGGUUGAACGAAAAUGAUUAUUUUAUUCAAUAAUAAUGCAAUGCCAAUAGGAAUUUGUCACGUGCAUUGACUGUGUGUUCCCACGUGUGUUAAUUUGCAAAUAGGAAUUUAUAAAAUACGUGCAGUAACAUUGCGUUCGCACGUUGAGUAUAACAUUUGCAUAGAAAUUCGUCUGAAAUAUGCAGUGACAUUGUGUUCGCACGUGGGGAGAAAAUACAAUUUCGAAAGAAUUCGUCAGACACGUGCAGUGACAUUGUGUUCGCACGUGAGUUAAUUUGCAUAGGAAUUUGAUACGUGCAGCGACAUUGCAUUCGCACGUGGAACAGUUGAAGGGUAGCAUUCCAGUGGAUUUUUUUUUUUCAAAUUGUUGUCUCUGAAUAAUUAAACUCGCUUAUUUACACCAGUAUUUUCAAUGAUAAACCUGUGACAGUGUCUCCUUCAUUGUCACAUUGACUUGCAGGUCUUAUGUAACUCCCUUUCUGGAGAGGGUUAAAAGACGUUCUCCACCUCAGUCUCAGAAACUAAAAAAUAAAUUGAAACAAUAUAAAACCUAAUCAACAUUCUGGGCAAAACGUUGGUGCAAGUGAUGCAAACAAUUAAUUAGUUUUUUUUGUAGGUCAAGUUGGGAGGAGUGCAGACGCUGCAGGCGUGCAUUAUGCAGCAUCCGCAAAGCAAAGCAGCUGCUGGAUCUGUAGGAGUGUUAGGAUAAUGUUGUAGGCAUUUAAAUUCGGCGAAAUAUUCUCAUCCGCGUUUAGAAACCUCCGCACCGCGUUCUAUCGCUUUUCCGUUCGACAAUAAGGCAUAUUCAUUGGAAAUGUUCGGCAAACUCGUGUUGUUUUUUGUUGUUGUUUUUUGGCUAGACCGGAGACGGUUUGGUACGAAGACCGUGAAAGGACAUGGGAGUUAUUAUUUUUUUUCAUUUUCAUUAUACUAUUACGUAUGUGUUAUUGUCACGUACGUACGUAACUCACGCACGUACUUGAAUAUUAUCACGUACGUAGGUAAUAUUGUCACGUAGGGCCCACGUGAUAAUUAUUACGUACGUAGGGCCCACGUGAUAAUUAUUAAGUACGUAUACACAACGUAUACUCGUUUAAGGAUACACGUAUUAUCACUUACAUAUGCAAUACAUGUACGUACGUAAUAUGUACUUAAUUUAUCAGGUAUGUACGCAAUAAUAAUACUAAUAUUGCGCUAGUACGUAAUAUUAUAUUAUCACUCGCAUGUAUGUGAUAAAUUAAAUGUAUCACGUACGUACGUUGUGAUUGUCAUAUGUAAAGUAGUAGGCCCUAAAUAAGAACAAUAUUAUGUUCAUCUCCUCUUGGUCUUCGUACCUUCGUACCCACGUACCCGCGUAUCCGCAUAUCCGCAUAUCCGCGUACCUGCGUAAUCGCGCGAUUUCGUGUACCAUACUUCGAAAAUCUAGGGAACUGUUUAGCAAAGUGCAAUGAACAGUGUUAGGGUAAAUGAAGCAAACGAAAAUUAGGGAGCAAGCAUAGCCCGCUGCGAGCAUGCGCACAUUGAGCCUGCAGGCAGUACAAUGGGGAGUUUUAGAAGUUUUCUAAACAAAAACAAAAAACAAAAAAAGUAUAGGCCUAACACUAACUUAAUGCAAACGAAAAUCAGUCUAAUGAAUAACACUGUCCCCUAAACUUGAAAGUACUGGUGUAGUUUAUUUUAUUUUAUCUAUUAAGAAACUUCACUUGCAAAUUUAAAGUCGAUUUUGUAAUUGAUUGAGAGUCAUUUUGUGAUGUUCUAUCGAGCAACUGGAAUGCUGCCCUCUAUACGGACAUGGGCUGGUACUUUGCUCAACUCAAAACAAUUAUUAAACAAAGUUAGUCAAACAACUACAGAAAGUGGCAAUGCUUGGUGCGUUGUUCACCAACGACGAUAUAAUUUCUUUAUGACUGUCUAAAAUGUUCAAGAGCAAACAAGAUUCAUAAAUUCUAGGCCAUCGGCAAUUGACAGUGACCAUGCCUGGUGCAGUGUCACUUGUAAGGGAUACCCUCUUCGGUGCACAUUAGUAGCGCCUAUUUCCAAGAGGCCCCUUCCUUCAGAAAAACUUGAACAUUAAAACUUAAACCGUUUAACAAAAACACGGAAGGACGUUACUACUUAAAUAGCCAUACAGAGAAAACUCUUGGUUAAUAAUUAACGCUAAUUCCUAAAUGAGCUCUCUGUUAAGGUGACAUACACGCUCUUAUAGUAACACUAAAAGGUCAAAAAAUCUGGGAUUAACAGCGUCUGUAAAAGCGCCGCAUUGUCUAUACUUCGCUAGUCUGUGAGCAGUGAGGGCACAGUUGACAGUUGACCAUAUUUUAAUGAUCGUAGUAAAAUCAAAAGUCAUAACUUUGGUUAAUUAUACUUUGCAUAAAUUUAUAUAAAAGACAUUUUUAUUCUGUGAAGAGCUUUCAAGCUCGGUUCAUUAUUAAGUAUUUAAAGAUAAACUUUUCUGUGAGUUAAAAAAAAUGCUUACAGAGAGAAUGACUUUUGGGAGAAAAAACUCAAAAGUAGAUUGUAUUUUGUUUCAUUGUAAAUGUUGCAUGUUUGAUUUUUUGCCUUAGUGUGCAUUGCUCUCUGUGUGGUGUGAUUAUUUUUAAUGGUAUCCGUCAUGUUGUCUCUGACAAUAGACAAAAUUAAAUGUUUUUAAUUUUUUUACCUUUUACUGUAAUACCUACCCGGAUAUUUACUUGACUACGCGUAUGACGAAAACUGAAAACAAAAUUCAAAUCGGUCUAAAAUUAAUUGUAGCAAAAAUCACAUCGUAAGCGAAUAUUUUUCCGAAAAAUAAAAUCACUCCGCUUUCUACGUGUAGGCCUACACGCUAGGAAAAUGAUGAAAAUAACGCGGGGAAAACAUCACAGCGUUAGUGAGAGUUAAAAUACCCGAAAUCAGUAUUAUUUUUCUUGCCACAAAGUAAACAAAAUGUGUUAUGGAAAUUACAAAUAAAAAUUACGAAAAUAACAAAGUAAACAAAAUGUGUUAUGGAAAUUACAAAUAAAAAUUACGAAAAUAACGGCAUAGAAAAUAAUCAUCUUAAACGAGAGAAGUAAAUACAUGUACUUGUAAAUUGGUGCUAAUUUCUAAACUUCGAUGCCUUUCAAAAUUUGGCCACAGAAAAAAUACCGGUUCUACAUUGCCUCAAAAAGUCGGAAAGCGAAUUUUGGCAAACGGUGGAAAAAUGACGGUAGCAAAAGAAAAUGAAAUUGACGAAAUUACGAGAAAAACAAUCACACCAUAAUGAACAAAAUAUCUGUUUAAGAAAAUGACUAAAUUUCAGUUAUAUACAGCGGCAUUUCAAAUAUAUCAAAAUUGUUGGCAUUGUCGAGAGAAGUGCCUUCAAAAAAACCUAAUUGCGCCCCCCCCCCUCCCCCCUCAAAAAAAGUACAUUGUGAAAGGUACAACUUAUUGGCAACCUACCAUUAUCGGCGUCGGCACAUGUUCGUGUGCAUUAUGACAAAAAGGUCAUGUCUGUUUUAAAAAAGUAAAUAGUGGAAACAUGGGUAGAAUCGUUUAGUUUUUAUUUGGUAACAGUGGCCUUAUUACAGGUAGGCUUAGACAUAAUGCUUUGGAAUGUUUCCCUUCAGUAACAAAUGGGCUAGGCCCAGUGUUUUCGUAACCCUGUUCACUUAGGAAAGAGUUGCAGCUUUCAUCAAAGAAACUGACGAUCUAAAAGUUGAGACUGCAUGGAUGAGCUAGGCUGCUUUGUCUGGACGAAAAUGAACCCUCCAAGGCUCCAACAGCCUAAUCACACAGAAACUCGAGGAACCGGAAGCAGGGAGGAGGACCGACAGAUGAACGGAUGACCUGCUUGCUGGGCUACCCAUUACUGAUUCUUGAGAAAACUGAGGACCACUGACUGAUGAGGGAAUUGCUCUACUGAGAUUGAUGAGCCUGCCUCAAGACAUCGUCGGGGCUCCAUCAGCCUUAUCACACGGAAACUCGAGGAACCGGAAGCAGGGAGGAGGACCGACAGAUGAGCGGAUGACCUGCUUGCUGGGCUACCCAUUACUGAUUCUUGAG